rnacentral:rRNA from 1 species
UACAGGGGGUGCGAGCGUUAAUCGGAAUUACUGGGCGUAAAGCGCACGUAGUCGGCUUUGCAAGUCGGUUGUGAAAUCCCCGGGCUCAACCUGGGAACUGCAUCCGAGACUGCAUUGCUAGAGUAUGGGAGAGGGAAGCGGAAUUUCUGGUGUAGCAGUGAAAUGCGUAGAUAUCAGAAGGAACAUCAGUGGCGAAGGCGGCUUCCUGGACCAAUACUGACGAUCAGGUGCGAAAGCGUGGGGAGCAAACAGG